GAACGUCGUGAGACAGUUCGGUCCAUAUCCGGUGCAGGCGUUAGAGUAUUGAGAGGAGUCCCCCUUAGUACGAGAGGACCGGGGGGAAUACACCGCUGGUGUACCAGUUAUCGUGCCAACGGUAAACGCUGGGUAGCCAAGUGUAGAGUGGAUAACUGCUGAAAGCAUCUAAGUAGGAAGCCCACCUCAAGAUGAAUACUCUCACCGUUUUAAACGGUUAAGAUCACGGGAAGAACACCCGUUAUAUAGGCACUAAGUGUAAGUACAGUAAUGUAUUCAGCUGAGGUGUACUAACAGAUCGAGGGCUUGA
rnacentral:rRNA from 1 species